AACUUCAAAUAAAACAGCUGAUGUCUGUGGUGAAUUCAACCUACAAGAUAAAAAAAACCCAUAUUAUUGUUAAGUGUCAACAACUACCAAAAGCAAACUGAAAUAAUAAUCUGCAAAUAGCAAGUAUACUUGUCAGCAUCCAUUGAAGAUUUGAAGCGAUGAAAACACAAUACCUGGUUUACAAUUUCACCGCGAUGGAACUUGAGCUAGUAUACUUUAUAAAGAUUAAAUCACUCAAAUUUAUCUAGUUAUCUAUGAAGAAUACAAAAAUUUUGGGAGUUCUGGUGUUUUCUAGGGUUUGGGUCUUUGAAGCAAAUAAUCGAACAGUUGGUGGGCAUGAGUGUGUUAACAGAUUAAAUGGAAUAUUAGAUGCGUAAAGCAGAAAAAUUUACCUCAAUUGUUCAAGAAUCUGAAGAAAUUUGAAUGAGGGGCGGCAGAUUCCUAUAACGAUUUGUGGGUUUUAUCAAUUUAUCAUCGAUUAGAUGAACGAAUCUUCAAGAAGAUAAUGUUGCAAUGAUCGAAAUCGUCGAUUAGAUGAUCGGAUCUUCAAGAAGAUGAUGUCGCCCAUCGUAAAAAGUGGUGAAUACAGAAAGACAGAGAGAAAGAGAAAAUCUGGAUCUAGGUUCUUGGGAAUUUGAGAGAGAGAGAGAGAGAAAUGGAUUGCCGCCCAAAGAAGAUUUGUGUGGAAUAUUAAGUUGACAGGUGGCAAAAACAGGUUUAAGCAAAUGCCAAGUGGC
rnacentral:lncRNA from 1 species